rnacentral:rRNA from 1 species
GGUUCGAUCAUGGCUCAGAUUGAACGUCAAGUGAUGCUUUACAUGCAAGUCGAACGGCAGCACGGACUUCGGCCCAGCAGAGGGCGAACGGGGUGAGCAAUGUAUCGGAACGCCUAGUAGCGGGGAUAACUACGAAAGCGUAGCUAAUACCGCAUACGCCCUUCGGGGGAAAGCGGGGGGACCUUCGGGCCUCGCACUAUUAGAGCGGCCGAUAUCGGAUUAGCUAGUUGGUGGGGUAACGGCUCACCAAGGGCGACGAUCCGUAGUUGGUUUGAGAGGACGACCAGCCACACUGGGACUGAGACACGGCCCAGACUCCUACGGAGGCAGCAGGGGAAUUUUGACAAUGGGGGAAACCCUGAUCCAGCCAUCCCGCGUGUGCGAUGAAGGCCUUCGCUGUAAAGCACUUUGGUGGAAGAAACGGUACUUCGGAUAAUACCCCGUGCAACUGACGGUACCUGCAGAAUAAGCACCGGCUAACUACGUGCCAGCAGCCGCGGUAAUACGUAGGGUGCAAGCGUUAAUCGGAAUUACUGGGCGUAAAGCGUGCGCAGGCGGUUCGGAAAGAAAGAUGUGAAAUCCCAGAGCUUAACUUCUUUGAACCAUUUUUAACUGCCACUGAGCGGAGUGUGUCAGAGAGGUGGAAUUCGCGUGUAGCGAAAUGUGUAGAUAUGCGAGGAACACCGAUGGCGAAGGCAGCCUCCUGGGAUAACACUGACGCUCAUGCACGAAAGCGUGGGGAGCAAACAGGAUUAGAUACCCUGGUAGUCCACGCCCUAAACGAUGUCAACUAGCUGCCAGCCUGGGCCUGGAAGCGCAGCCAACGCGUGAAGUUGACCGCCUGGGGAGUACGGUCGCAAGAUUAAAACUCAAAGGAAUUGACGGGACUCCGCACAAGCGGUGGAUGAUGUGGAUUAAUUCGAUGCAACGCGAAAACCUUACCUACCCUUGACAUGUCUAGAAUCCCGAAGAGAUUUGGAGUGCUCGCAAGAGAACCGGAACACAGGUGCUGCAUGGCUGUCGUCAGUUCUGCUGUGGGCCGAGAUGUUGGGUUAAGUCCUGCAACGAGCGCAACUUUGUCACAGUUGCACAGCACACCUAAUGAGACUGCCGGUGACAAACCGGAGGAAGGUGGGGAUGACGUCAAGUCCUCAUGGCCCUUAUGGGUAGGGCUUCACACGUCAUACAAUGGUCGGGACGAGGCCAACCGCGAGGGGGAGCUAAUCCAGAAACCCGAUCGUAGUCCUGGAUCGCAGUCUGCAACCGGACUGUGAAGUCGGGAAUCGCCGUGUAAUCGCGGAUCAGCAUGUCGCGGUGAAUACGUUCCUGCCCUGGUACACACCGCCCGUCACACCAUGGGAGUGGGUUUACCAGAAGAGUUAGCUCAAAUCCGCAAGGAGGGCGAUUACCACGGUAGGAUUCAUGACUGGGGUGAAGUCGUAACAAGGUAG